UUCUUCAAAGGGUGUGGGGA
rnacentral:piRNA from 1 species